rnacentral:rRNA from 1 species
GACAGAGGGGGCAAGCGUUGUCCGGACUGACUGGGCGUAAAGCGCGCGCAGGCGGUGACGGGCGUCGGUGCUGAAAGUCCACCGCUUAACGGUGGGUCGCGUGCCGAUACGCCGUCGCUGGAGGCUGGGCGAGGGUGGUGGAAUUGCCGGUGUAGUGGUGAAAUGCGUAGAGAUCGGCAGGAACACCCGUGGCGAAGGCGGCCACCUAGCCCAGGCCUGACGCUGAGGCGCGACAGCGUGGGGAGCGAACGGG